CGUGGGUAACCUGCCCAAGAGAUCGGGAUAACACCUGGAAACAGAUGCUAAUACCGGAUAACAACAGAUGAUGCCUAUCAACUGUUUAAAAGAUGGUUAUGCUAUCACUCUUGGAUGGACCUGCGGUGCAUUAGCUAGUUGGUAGGGUAACGGCCUACCAAGGCGAUGAUGCAUAGCCGAGUUGAGAGACUGAUCGGCCACAUUGGGACUGAGACACGGCCCAAACUCCUACGGGAGGCAGCAGUU
rnacentral:rRNA from 1 species